rnacentral:rRNA from 1 species
CCUACGGGAGGCAGCAGUGAGGAAUAUUGGUCAAUGGACGCAAGUCUGAACCAGCCAUGCCGCGUGCAGGAAGACGGCUCUAUGAGUUGUAAACUGCUUUUGUACGAGGGUAAACGCAGAUACGCGUAUCUGUCUGAAAGUAUCGUACGAAUAAGGAUCGGCUAACUCCGUGCCAGCAGCCGCGGUAAUACGGAGGAUUCAAGCGUUAUCCGGAUUUAUUGGGUUUAAAGGGUGCGUAGGCGGUCGGAUAAGUUAGAGGUGAAAUCCCGAGGCUCAACUUCGGAAUUGCCUCUGAUACUGUUCGGCGAGAGAAUAGUUGCGGGAGGCGGAAUGUAUGGUGUAGCGGUGAAAUGCUUAGAGAUCAUAAAGAACACCGAUUGCGAAGGCAGCUUACCAAGCUACUUCUGACGUUGAGGCACGAAAGCGUGGGGAGCAAACAGGAUUAGAUACCCUUGUAGUC